rnacentral:pre_miRNA from 1 species
CUUGUACUCCCUCCGUCCGAAAAUAUUUGUCGAAGGAAUGGAUGUAUCUAGACGUAUUUUAGUUCUAGAUACAUCCAUUUUUAUGUAUUUCUCCGACAAGUAUUUCCGGACGGAGGAAGUAUAUU